rnacentral:Y_RNA from 1 species
GGCUGGCCUGAGCGCCGUGGUGUUUACAACUGAUUGAUCACGACCAGUUACAGAGUCCUUUGUUCCUUCUCCACUCCCACUGCUCCACUUGACUAGCCUUAA